rnacentral:rRNA from 1 species
GAACGCUGGCGGCAGGCCUAACACAUGCAAGUCGAACGGUAACAGGAAGCAGCUUGCUGCUUGCUGACGAGUGGCGGACGGGUGAGUAAUGUCUGGGAAACUGCCCGAUGGAGGGGGAUAACUACUGGAAACGGUAGCUAAUACCGCAUAAUGUCGCAAGACCAAAGAGGGGGACCUUCGGGCCUCUUGCCAUCGGAUGUGCCCAGAUGGGAUUAGCUAGUUGGUGAGGUAACGGCUCACCAAGGCGACGAUCCCUAGCUGGUCUGAGAGGAUGACCAGCCACACUGGAACUGAGACACGGUCCAGACUCCUACGGGAGGCAGCAGUGGGGAAUAUUGCACAAUGGGCGCAAGCCUGAUGCAGCCAUUCGCCGCGUGUAUGAAGAAGGCCUUCGGGUUGUAAAGUACUUUCAGCGGGAGGAAGGGGUUAAGGUUAAUAACCUUAGCCAUUGACGUUACCCGCAGAAGAAGCACCGGCUAACUCCGUGCCAGCCGCAGC